GUGGGGAAUAUUGCACAAUGGGCGAAAGCCUGAUGCAGCAACGCCGCGUGAGGGACGACGGCCUUCGGGUUGUAAACCUCUUUUAGUAGGGAAGAAGCGAAAGUGACGGUACCUGCAGAAAUAGCACCGGCUAACUACGUGCCAGCAGCCGCGGUAAUACGUAGGGUGCAAGCGUUAUCCGGAAUUAUUGGGCGUAAAGAGCUCGUAGGCGGUCUGUCGCGUCUGCUGUGAAAACUGGAGGCUCAACCUCCAGCCUGCAGUGGGUACGGGCAGACUAGAGUGCGGUAGGGGAGAUUGGAAUUCCUGGUGUAGCGGUGGAAUGCGCAGAUAUCAGGAGGAACACCGAUGGCGAAGGCAGAUCUCUGGGCCGUAACUGACGCUGAGGAGCGAAAGCGUGGGGAGCGAACAGGAUUAGAUACCCGAGUAGUCC
rnacentral:rRNA from 1 species